rnacentral:lncRNA from 1 species
CUUUCUGGCAAAAUACCAUUUAUCCUUCACGAUUCAGGAUCCUUUGUCAAAUCCAGCUUUCCCAAACAGAGUAAAUCUGUCAGGCCCAUCUCUGAACCCCCACACCGCUUUGUACAUCCUUCUACCCGAGGAAGGAAAAGAAAGAAACAUUCUAGGAAUGCCUGUGGCUGAAUACCAGGCUCUAGGUUAAAUGCUUGAGAACACUGAAUAUUAUUUGAGCCCUGGGGUCCAAGAAAGCAGCCACAGUUGAGAAACUUCCCCACCUUUUUGUGUUCCCAAGAACAGCUAAUUUUUUUUAAGAUUUUAUUUAUUUAUUCAUGAGAGAUACACAUAGAGAGAGGCAAAGACAUAGGCAGAGGGAGAAGCAGGCUCCAUGCAGGGAACCCUGUGUGGGACUCAAUCCUGGGACUCUAGGAUCACACCCUGCAGCAAAGGCAGACACUUAACUGCUGAGCCACCCAGGAGUCCCAAGAACAGCUAAUUGUAAAGGACCAUAUUGCCCUGGCAUAUUCUGAGAUAAGACCCUAUCCAUAUUUCCUCAUGGUUCCCAUAAGACUGAUGAUGACUCCUUUGUUCACCUGCCUCUAUAAAACUUUCCCUUCUUUUCUUUGAGCAGUCUCUUUAAGGCUAUAGUCUGAAUAAAAUCAUUUCUUUAAUUCUGUGAAGUUAGUUUUGUUCUUAGUAGUUUACAGAUGAGAAACUGAAGCUCAGAUGCAUGGCCUAAGAUGGUACCAUUAAGGAGGAAAUAUGAUUUCUUCCCAGUCUGUGUGGCUUCCACUAGGUUCUUUCCACAACUCUUAUAAAUGGAAUGUGACUUAGCCAUGCAGGUAAGCAGGCCAUGAAACCUUCAAAAGCAGGGACAUCCAGGUCUCAAAUUCAUCUUAAUCCUUGUUUGCUAAAUGAAUUCCUGAAUAAACUGUGUCAAUUCCCACUGAGGUAGUGUUACAGUGUUUCUCACUUCCUUUUUAACCUAAGCUUCUUUUUAAUACAUAGGAAAAACAAAUAUGAAAGGCUGAAAUUUUGAGCCAAAGGAGAAUUUACAUUUUAUUUUAUUUAUUUUUUUAAAGAUUUAUUU